rnacentral:lncRNA from 1 species
ACGACCUAAAUCUCUAAUUGCCAAAUUUUGAAAGCCAAGAUUUUUUCUUUUUAUAGGUUGAUCGAAAGAAUUUUUUUUUUUUUUUUAUCAAAAGAAAAAAAAAGCUUGGCUUUCAAAGUUUGGCAAUUAGAGAUUUAAGUCCUCCUUGGUAAUUGGUUCGAAAGCCAAGUUUUUUAUAUUAUUUAUUCUGUAUUUAACAUCGAUUAUCAAACUAGCAAAUGGAAAUUUCAUUAUUUUUUCUUUUUGUCAAGAAAGUAUAUUGAUUAACUCAAACGAAUCAAUUAGAAGGAACAUUGUCUACAUAGGUGACAUAAUGUAGUACGAACACGUAGUGCCAAGUUAUAUGCUUAAACAUUUGCGCUAUGAGAAAUAAGGAGCAGAAAAAAGAUUAAGAAUUCUUCCAUAUGGAUAUUAUUUCUUCCAGGUAAGUAGAAAAAUCUCGCCAUUUGGAUGAAUAACACACCAUCUAAAUAAAAAUUCAUUUGUUCUAAAGUAUUUUAUAUAUUAUUUUGUUAAAGCAUUUUAUAUUAGUAAUUAAUUAUUUACAAAUAAAUAUUGGUGACAUAGCUAACGCAUGGGUUUUUAAUCUAGUAUAUAGAUAAUAAAUAAUACACAAUAAAGAGACAUGUUAAUAUAUAUAUAUAUAUAUAUAUAUAUAAAUACCAGUGACACCAAUGUCGUAGCCGAACAUGAGGCCGCCCGUAGCAGCCAUGAUGCAAGAGAUGAUAACUAUAGGAGUUAUCUUUGCCUCGAACUCGACUCCGUUCGCCGAAGCCGUUGCAAAUCCUCCUCCGGCCAUACUUGCUAAAACUUAAAAAUUAUUUUCUCUCAAAGAGUUGAGAAAAAAUAAAAGAGACCAUUGGGAUGUUUACUUGUACGUUUUCUCGUAGAAGACGAAGUAGUGAAGCACAGUGGGAAAUUGUAGGUAGCCAAUGAGAAUUUUACACGUCUAUCUUAUUUCACAUGCUAGAGUCAUUAAGUCAUUGGUCAACAGAAGUUUCUGAUUUAUCUUCAUCUGCCUUGUGUGGUUCUUUGUUGAAUAUACUAUUAUUUGCCUAUUAACAUAUAAGUCAUUUAUAAGUCAUAAGUCUUCUCUUCUUGUUAUUAUAUUAUCUUCGAAUAAUAUUAUAAUUUGUUGUUUUGUUAAAUUAUAAGGUUCUCCUAUCUCUCUUAUUAUAGAGAUUGCUACAUUAGUUUACAUAUCGUUGUCAAUGUAUGUGAAUGUGAGUGGUGCGUAUUUAAAGAUCUGAAUUGUAUUUAGUAAUAUGAAUAAUGAAAAUUCGGACUAUUAUUAAAUAUACAUCUUCAUUAGCUCAUAGAAAGAACAGAACACUUUGUCAGAAAAUGGAAUCACAACAAAGCCAAAACAAGACUUUACCUAUUCACAAAACAUAGUUCAAAGUAUCGAAACUUUAGUACAAAUAUAUUUCCUUGUUCACUCUCUUCUCUGCUUCUACUUUGGUUAUAUUGACUCAUUAAAGCCGUGUUGAAGGAUCAAAGCCAUUAGAUUUACCAUUAGUCUUCUCACCAUUUGCAAACUCUUGAUCAUGGUGAUCAUCCAUGAAUCUAGCCCAAAACCAAUGCUUCUUCCACACUCUCUCAGUCAUCUCCUCGAUAGGCACAUUCUUAGUCUCAGGAAGUAGAAACAUCACAAACACAGACAUAAUCAGAACCCAAGCCGAGAAGAAGAUGAAUAUCCCAAACUUGAAAUGGCAAAGCAUCGAGAGGAAAGCUUGAGCUAUGAUAAACGUGAAGAGCAAGUUAACGCAGACCGUCACACUUUGUCCCGCGGAACGUGUCUCUAGAGGGAAUGUUUCACUCGGGAUUAACCACCCGAGCGGUCCCCAAGACCACGCGAAAGCAGCCACGUAAGUGCAGAUCAUUACCACGACUAGAAUAGCAAAUCCUUUGGAGAGAUUUGUAGAGUGAUCUGUGACUUUGAUGCCUAGGAUGAUGGCGAUAACGACUUGAGAGAAGAACAUUUGAACACCAGCUUCAAGAAGAAGAACACGACGACCAACUUUGUCUACAGAGUAGAUUGAGACUACAGUGGACAAGACAUUGACUGCUCCGGUAACCACAGCAGAGUAAAGAGCAGCGUCACUACCAAACCCUAAUGUGCUGAACAGAACAGGUGCAUAGAACAUAAUCGCGUUGAUUCCAGUACAUUGUUGGAAAAUCUGCAAAUUUCACCCAAAUAAAAAACAUCAAAUUCAAAUUCUACUUAGUAAACAGUUAAAAAUUGAACACAAUGGGAUCAAAAAUUUAUGAGACUUGACAAACAAGUUAGGGUUUCUUGAUCCUUAAUUAAGAGCUCUAACAAUUUCAAGAUCAAAUAGACUUCAAAUGAACAAAGAAGUGAUAAUACUAACCUGUAAAGCGACGGCGAUAACGAGCUGAGGACGAUUUCUACGUUGAAGUAGGUUUCUAAAAGGAUGUUUAACUUCUUUAGCAAGUCUACUAGCUUCAAGCAGAUCGUUGAACUCUGGUUCCACAUUAUCCGUACCUCGAAUACGACGAAGAACAGCUUUACCUUCGUCGAGAUGACCUCUUUCGACUAAACUGUUCGGUGUCUCGGUCACCAUUAAAGCUCCUACCGUUAGAAGAAGCGCGGGAAUUCCAGCCAAACCUAGAGAUAACCUCCAUCCCCAUCCUCCUUUAAUCCUGCAAAACAUUUCAAAAUUUGUUAAGCGGUUACAUUAUGGGCUUAUGGGCCUAUACAUACGUCAGCCCAUUAAAUACGUUUCGCAUUAAAGUCAACGCGGAGAAAAUUUUGUUAGCGGACUACGUUCAGUGCAUGUGGAUAGAAUUUGCUGAAAUCACGGAAGACUUUUUUUUUUAUCUACUUAUAAAGUUUUAUUAUUGUUUGUUCAAAUUUAUAAAGUGAAAAUACUUUUUUAUUUUUUUAUGGUAUUUUUUUAUGGUAUUUCGAAAAAGUUAAACAUAACAUUUAAACAAACACAGAAGACACAGCCAAAAAGUUUGACAAAAACGAUUAGAGAAAGUGUACAUAUGUAACGUAAACUUUUUUAUUUAAUAAAUAAAAAAAAAUUAUUUUCUUACAACAAAAUUAAGGUUUGUGUGAAGUGAAAGAGACAAGUCAUGUGUAGAUAUUUUGUUAAUAGUGUCAUGUAAAAGAAAAAUCUCCAAAAAUUAUGAACACCAUAUAUAUUAUUUUGGGUUUUGUAUAUUUUUCGUGAUAAAAAAUCUCAAACCCUAAGUUUAGUUUCCACUCAUUUUUUUCUCAUAUUAUCAAAUAAAAAAAUAAAAUUAAAAGGGAAGAGAUAUUUACUUGGCGGUUCCAUAGUUGACAAGAUUGGCGAAGAGGAUACCAAUAGUGACAUUAAGCUGAAAGAGAAUAUUAAGACCACCACGGAUCCUAGUUGGUGCAAUCUCCGACAAGAACAAAGGAACAGCUUGGUUAGCGAACCCAACUCCACAACCAAGCAAGAUCCGUCCUGCAAUAAGCAUGGCUAGGUCUUGAGCUCCCGCGUUGAGAGCUACACCGAUGAUGAAGAAAACACCAGCUAUGAGCAUAGUUAGUCUUCGUCCGAGCGUUCUUGUCGUGUAUGAAGCGAAGAACGUUGCGGUUAGACCAGCUAAGUAUAGAGAUGAUGUAAAGAGUUGUAGCCCUUGGUUGUCGUAUUUGCAGUAGUUGUUUUUGUCGGCUCCGGCUUCUACUCGCUUGUGAACCACCGGAAAGAACUUUUUGAGAAAGUCUGGCAUCGAUGUCACUCCACCUAUACAUAGUCAAAUUGAUGAUAAAAUUAACUUUUUACUGUGUAAGCUUAUGUUGAAACUUAGAAGAUUCUCAUAAUAUCAAAGUACUCAAAAUAUUGUUUACUAGUGUUGAUGUGUCAUAAACCCAUGUUCAGAUUCAACGUUGAGCAUGUGUGUCGUAGGUGACAAAACAAAAAGAAUCACUAAACCAUAUGACACUAAUUUUGUCAUUAUACUACUAAACACAGGGACCUGUCUAGCUAGCUAAGAUCAUUAGUUGCCAAACUUUUGUAAUUAUUUUUCUUACUUCAAAGUAAUUAAUUAACAUUGAGCUAGUUAAUUAGUGAAAUUUCAUUUUGAUAAAGUUUUAUAUUAUUUUAUUUCUAUUAGUCCUCCAUAUGUUAGGUGAAAAUGGUUCUACCAAAAAAGUUAUUGGUGGUAGUUGAAAACAUAAGCAAGUUCUAUUUACAAAUCAUUACUUGAGAAAACUUGCACUAACUAAAAACCAUCCUUCAAAUCAAAACUUGUUCUACUUUUUGGUAUAAUAUUUAAGAUAAAAGAAUUGUAUUACAAAUAUAGAAAGAGAUGUUAAUAUUCUUACCAGAGACACCAACGUCGUAACCAAACAUGAGACCGCCGGUAGCAGCCAUGAUGCAAGAGAUGAUGACUAUAGGAGUAAUCUUCGCCUCGAACUCGACUCCAUUCGCGGAAGUCGCAAACCCUCCUCCGGCCAUCGCGAGGAUCUCCUUAUCAGAAACUAAAAUCUAAAAAAGUUAAUUUCUCUUAUAAAAGAGUUGAAAAGAAACAACACUAUAAGUUAAAGAGACUCUUGUUGUUAUGUACUUCAUUAUAUAGACAAAGAUGAGGCAGUGAAGCACAAAAUAGAAAUUGUCUGCAGCCAAUGAGACUCUAACACGUCUCUAGUUAUGUUCACAUGCUUCUGAGUCAUCAAGUCAUUGGUCAACAAACGUUACUUCUAUCUCCUCAUUGUGCUUUAUGUGGCGUCUCCUUAGUUGAAAUAUACAAUUUGCUUAUCAUCAUAUAAGUCUUCUUUCUUGAUUAUUAUAUUAUCCUCUUAAUAUUCAUAUAUUUAUUUUUGUUAAAUUAUAAGAUUCUCCUCUCUUAUUAGUGAGAUCAUUACGAAUUCUUACAUCGCUGUCAAUGUGUUGUGCAAAAUCUUGCUACCGGCUUACUCAAAAUAUCUCUCGAAUACACCUUUUUUUAGAAUAUGAACGAUUUGGUUUGUGUUCAUACAAAUUAGCCAACGUCAUGUAACGUCGAUAUUAUCUUUUACUAAUUGUUUGUAGUGUUUACAAUGUUUAUGGAUGUUAUAAUAUUUAUAUAUAUGGUGUUAAAAGUCUACGGGACCAGAUCGGAUUCAGCAUUCUAAGAAGUAUAGACCGACACUAAUCCAACCCACACCAACCUCCCUAGUUAAGAAUAUGGAUCCAAAAAAAUCUUAUAAAAUGUAUAUAUAAAACCAUAUUUGCUCACCACUCUUUUGAGAUUAUUGGAAGCAAGAAAAUAUCUACAAGUAUGAUCUGUUUUAUAUUAUUAUGUGUAGUUUAUUGUCGCAUGGGUUUCUCAUUUGCUGUCACGUUAUUUGUGUAUAUCUACCAACUUGUCACUUUUUGCAAUAGUUUCAUUUCAUGGGUCCAUAAUCUUUAAAAGCCAAUAACUAUAUAUGUUUUUGAGGGUUUUUUUGAUAUGACUAAUAACCAAAUGUGCUACGUACACUGCUACUUAGUUAUUGUUUCUUGCGUAUUGGCUAUAUGCAAAGACAACCAAACUACGUGUAACAUAAAAUAAUCCAAUUUUUUUUGAAGUUAUGAUUAGUUUAUUUCCUUUGUGGCAUUUGGUAAUUGGAGUUUUGAACUUAUAUUAGUAGUAAAGUAUUGCAACAUGCACAUGCAAAUUCGAAUUAAAAUUGGAUAUUAGUUUUGUGUGUAUAAUUCUUUAUUGUUGAAAUAUCAAACCACGGGAGCCAUGGGUUUAGACAUGUAAUAUGACCACUUGACAUAACAGGUGGAAUUAAUUACGUCACAAAAAUCGUAUUUGGAACCAAAAAGUGUGUAUGUGUGUGUGUGUUUACUUUUCAAACAUCAUUAUCUUGUUAGAAGAGUUUCGUAAGAGUUGGGAGUCAACGAUUCUGUUUUUCUUUUUUUCAACGAUUUCUAAUUUGACAAAUAUUAAAUGAAAGAAACAAGUAAUAAAACGUGACGAUGAAUAAAAUUGGGAAAAUAAAAGACCGGAAAAAGCUUCUAUGUGUGUACGUCCUAUUAUUAUCCUCUCUUUUUUAUAUUAAAAAACCUCUAAAUUAAAUAUCUGUAGCAUUUCAUACUUUCAUUAUUAUCUUAUUAAACAAAAAUAAAAUAUAUAUAUGCAUACGUUGCUAGGCGUGGGCAUUCAGUAUUCUGGUCGGAUUCGAGUUUUUCGAAUAAGAUAAAUAUACAAAAUUUGGUUUAGUUUCGGUUCAAAUUCUUUCGGAUUUGAAUUGGAUUAGAUAUAGAUUUUUAUAACCAUUCAAAAAGCCAUUAUUUUCGAAUAGAUAUAUGGAUUUUUAGAUAAAAGUUUGGAGUUUUCGGACAAAAUUCAAUUAAUUAAAUAAAUAAUUGGGAUAUUUGAAUCCUAAAUUGUUUAUAUAGAGUUAUAUUUCAGGUAUUUUCGAUUCGGAGUUUGAAUCGAGUUCGGUUUUGGGUUUUUCGAGUUCGGUUUUGGAUUUUUCGGUAGAGAAGUUUAAGACCUGAUGUAUACUGUAAAAGAAUAAAUAUAAAAAUUUGGGUUUGGUUGGGAUUUUCGAUUCCGGUUUUUCUUGCCCAAGCCUAGUUGCUUCAAAGACCAAAACGACAUCCAAAUAUUUAUUUUCACAGAAACCCAAUUAUCACUUUUUUUGUAUAAAUACCAAAAUCUCAUUAUAUUCGCAAUGUGUUCCACUUCCUACAAACCCACGAAAACAAUUGAACCACCUUAUUAACUGGUUUAGUCAAACCUCGAACCGUAUAGACCAACACUAUCUAAAUUAACCGAUCUGUACGUAUGAAAAUGCAAGUCAAUGAAGUUGAAACAAUAACACAUUUGACAAUAACGGUCAACUAAAACAAUCCCGUCGAAGCAUUUUUAGAUAGUUCCAAACAAAGACGACACAACCUAACAAAAGUCUUCUUCAGUGCCAGAAAUUUUCAAAAAAGACAGUAACAGCUAAUUAAGCGCACUCUAAAA